UACGGAGGGGGCUAGCGUUGUUCGGAAUUACUGGGCGUAAAGCGCACGUAGGCGGCUUUGUAAGUUAGAGGUGAAAGCCCGGGGCUCAACUCCGGAAUUGCCUUUAAGACUGCAUCGCUAGAAUUGUGGAGAGGUAAGUGGAAUUCCGAGUGUAGAGGUGAAAUGCUUAGAUAUGACAUAGAACAUCGAUUGCGAAGGCAGCUCGCUACACUAUGAUUGACACUGAGGCACGAAAGCGUGGGGAUCAAACAGG
rnacentral:rRNA from 1 species